rnacentral:rRNA from 1 species
AGCUUGAAGGAUACAUUUUAAGUGAGUUCUGCCCAGCGUGUUUUAUUAGCGGCCGCAGUACCUUGACUGUGCUAAGGUAGCAUAAUCAAUUGGCUUUUAAUUGAAGUCUGGAAUGAAAGGUUUAUUAAAGAAUUUUCUGUCUCUUUUUAGUUUUUAUGAAUUUAUUCAUUAAGUGAAAAUACUUUAUAUUAGAAAAAAGACGAGAAGACCCUUAGAAUUUUUAUUAAAAGCUUUUUUAAAUCUUUUAUUUUUGUUGGGGCGACAAUGAAACAU